AUCUAAUACUGGCAAUCUCAUCCAAGAAACUACAUCUCUAGUGGCUUUGGUGUUUGCCAACCUUCCUUACGUAUUUCUUUCUUUAGAAAUCAGCCUACGGGACGAUGCUCCAAUGGUCUUUUUAUGAUUAACUAUAUUGGGAGAUCGAUGGUAAUGAUUAUAAUCAUCCCUUCUUCCUAGGCAAAACCAUGGACAACCUGCAACAGGGUUUGGUGCUUCAUAUUAUUCAAUCCAUCAAAACAAUUGCUAUGGAUUUGACAUGGACUCUCUACAAAAAGCAUGUCGUGGAAGUAGAGGACAAUAUAAUUUUUAUCUAAGCAAUGUAUGUGGAGUUCCAGAAGCUACAGUAUGUCCCAUUCUUUGUGCACAUAUCAAUUGGGAUGACAUUCAUUUAAAUCAGUUGGGAUGACAUUCAUUUGUCAAAGAAGGCAUACAAGAACAAGGCCUAGGGUAUUUGAGAUCUUACAUAAACUCAAUUGUUUAUUUUAGGAUUU